UUAAAGGUGGGUGUUUUUGAGAAAAAAUUAAAUUUAAAUUGCCUUCCAAACCAUAAUAGGACAGCUUAAUCCUACAGAGAAUGGCUCGACCAAAAAGUCCUACAGAGAAAGGGAGAAAAAGAAAAAGGGUAAGAUGUAAAAUACCUAAAGGUAAAGCGAAGCGCAAAAAGGAAAACUGUGCACCGUUUAACGCUUACUCUUUUAGAUGUCACUUUCCUUUUCUGUUAAAGGUGAAGAUAAACUCCAAAAACUUGAUCAAUCUCCCAGUGAGGACUGGCUUCUGAACAUGUUGGAGCCAAUCAGUGGACUUCUUAAUUAAUUUUCAAUAUGAUCAACCAAUUACAGUUUGAAUAGGCCGGUUUUGGUGGUUCAGCUGGUUUGAUGAACACUGUAUUAUAUUCUCCCUAGGCUAACCAUUCAUGCUUGACCUGAAUGUUAUAUUCAGGUAGUUUUUCUCUUAUCUUUAGUUUGUGUUUGUGUUUGUGUGGCUUUUUUUUUUUUUUUUUUUUUUGUUUGUUUAAGCUCGGGCUUGAAGUAACAUUGUUUGUUCUGUUCCGCUAGUGACAAUUGGUUCCAAUUAGAUUGAGAUUGUUCAUGCUAAUCUAAUGUUACUGUCCGCAUUAAAUAUCUAUACAAAGCUUCAAGUUGAAGUGUUGUUGUUCUGCAUUGUUGGUAUCAUUAUUGGAUCUGUUUGAAUUGGAUGUCAAUUAAGUUCAGUUUAGUUGGUAAGAGUUGGGUUUCGAAUGAACUAAAUGUGUGAUCUAGAUAGGGAGUACUUUGUGCUGCCUCAUAUUCUGGGUGUAUAGAUGCUUAUUACAUUUUCUGAGACCUCACUGGUUAUGGAAUUUAUUUUUAUUGAUUAACAGAAUUUUGACCGAGAGGUGUGCCAAAAACUUGUCUUCUUGGAUUUCCGUAAUUGGGGAUAUAGGGUUAAUGCUUGUGUUACUAGACCAUGCGAAUGAGGAGUGUAAGCUUUUCGGUAACUCGGAGUCUCGGAGAGGGAGGGAAAUCAUCAUGCAGAGUUGCUACGAUGGCCUAGUCCAGAGCAAGUACCCACCCAGGGACUUUCCUGAAGAAGUUUGUUAUAAAUGUUGUGAAAUCAGGGUAUAAGAAUUUGGAUUGAGUAUGGCCAUUGUUUUCUUGCACCAUGGGAAAAAUAUAUGUUGUAUGUGUAAGUGUGUGUGUGAGAGAGUCGCAGAGAGAGAAAUCUGACUGAAAGUAUCAAGAUUUUAUUUGAUUAUGAAACCUAAUCCGCUAAUACUAGCUCUUAAUGAUUUUUUUGUAAGAAUAUCCGAGGCAUUGUGGCUAGCUGGAAAUCUUUAGGUGGCUUGGCCGUAUGUGAUAUACGACUCCACUUUAAUACUCUGGAUUUUUCCGGAAAGAAACAACAAAGAGAGGAUAUGACAUGGCUUCAAACCGUUGGCGUAAGGAGUCACGUAUACCAAAACAGGUCUCAUGCGACUCAGCAUUUGGAUUUGUUGUAUUGAAUGGAGAGUUGCAUGUUACAACCCUUUUUAAGGCAGCUGAAUCAGCAGAAAUCUGAAUGUACGGCUAGUGCGGCUAAAGAAAAAGAUAUAUCUCUACAACACUCAUCACAUGACCUGUAAACGUAAGGAGAUAUCUUUGUUGUAGGUGUCGAAGUGAAGGUAUUACAAGGUCCAUAGUAAGUGCAAAGAAGCAUAUAUUGUGGGUCAGAUUUUGAUUUCUUUGUGCCCCAAAAUGCAUGCCAAUAAUAUAAUGAAAAAUUAUUUGCAAGACUCAUUUCUUCUGUUCCGAGUCCUGACCCAUUCAAAUUUUAAUGCUUCCCACAAUAGAAAAAGAGCACACUGGUGCCUAUAAAUACCCAUAUAUCUAACCCUCCACAUAACACAUCCUUCAUAUUUUUAAGCUAGAUAUCUUUGUUUAAUAUCUAUAAGUAUAAGAUCAAUAGAUCACCAUUUGGUUUUUUAAUGUUAUAUUCACAGUCAUAACAGUUGUAUUUCUCAUGAGCAUGAACUUGCAAGAGGCUAGUGCAGGCAGGGUUGUAUGAUGUGAACGGAAACUCAGCAAGGAUGAUGACGACGAUGAGCAAAGACAUCAUGCUGAUGAAGUCGAAGCAGAGGGCCGACCAUCCUCCUCGCGGUGGAUCUAAUCCGAAGGUCCCUGCUAUGUUGAAUGAUCUUGACGGUACAACGAUCAACCAAAGGAACUUUGCAGGCCACACAACUACUCCGCCUUUUCCACAUGAUGCUUACCCUCAUAAUGCCGUGGCUAGAUCACAACUCGGCGUGGCUACAGAUCAUAAAUCAUUUAGUUGAUUAAUAAUAUCUACAGAAAUCCCAACCUAAUAAGAUACAUCAAAUGUGAUAGAAAAUAGACGAAUAAGUAGAGGGUAAAAACCUAGUUUAAUUUUUCACAUUUAUUUUCAUUAUACCUUUCUUUUAUCUGUGUUUCUUCUUGAAUAAAAAAAAAUAGAACUAUCUUAUUUCUUAUUUA